CGGAGGGUGCAAGCGUUGUUCGGAAUUACUGGGCGUAAAGCGCGUGCAGGCGGCCGAUUAAGUCCGGUGUGAAAGCCCGGGGCUCACCCCCGGAAGUGCGCUGGAAACUGAUCGGCUAGAGUACGGGAGAGGGAAGCGGAAUUCCUGGUGUAGCGGUGAAAUGCGUAGAUAUCAGGAGGAACACCGGCGGCGAAGGCGGCUUCCUGGACCGAUACUGACGCUGAGACGCGAAAGCGUGGGGAGCAAACAGGAUUAGAUACCCUGGUAGUCCACGCUGUAAACGAUGGGUACUAGGUGUCGCGGGUGUUGACCCCUGCGGUGCCGCAGCUAACGCAUUAAGUACCCCGCCUGGGGAUUACGGUCGCAAGAUUA
rnacentral:rRNA from 1 species